AAUGAACGUUGGCGGCGUGGAUUAGGCAUGCAAGUCGAGCGAGAACCCCGCAAGGGGGGACAGCGGCAAACGGGGUAGUAAUGUGUCGGAACGUGCCCUCAGGUCGGGGAUAGCGGCGGGAAACUGCCGGUAAUACCCGAUGACCUCGAGAGAGCAAAGGUGUGACUCCGCCGGAGGAGCGGCCGACAUGGUAUUAGCUAGUUGGUAGGGUAAUGGCCUACCAAGGCGAUGAUGCCUAGGGGGUGUGAGAGCAUGGCCCCCACCAUUGGGACUGAGACACUGCCCAGACACCUACGGGUGGCAG
rnacentral:rRNA from 1 species